rnacentral:rRNA from 1 species
AGAGUUGAUCAUGGCUCAGGAUGAACGCUAGCGGCAGGCUAACACAUGCAAGUCGAGGGGCAGCGGGAUGUAGCAAUACAUGCCGGCGACCGGCGGAUGGGUGCGUAACGCGUAUGCAACCUACCUUAUACAGGGGAAUAACCUUUCGAAAGGGAGACUAACACCCCAUGGUAUUGAUUUAAGGCAUCUUAGAUUAAUUAAAUAUUUAUAGGUAUAAGAUGGGCAUGCGUAUGAUUAGCUAGUUGGUAAGGUAACGGCUUACCAAGGCGACGAUCAUUAGGGGUUCUGAGAGGAAGGUCCCCCACACUGGUACUGAGACACGGACCAGACUCCUACGGGAGGCAGCAGUGAGGAAUAUUGGUCAAUGGGCGCAAGCCUGAACCAGCCAUGCCGCGUGCAAGGAAGACGGCCUUAUGGGUUGUAAACUGCUUUUACAUAAGACUAACCGUAUAUUUGCGAAUAUACCUGAAUGUAUUAUGAGAAUAAGGAUCGGCUAACUCCGUGCCAGCAGCUGC